UCAAUGCUAUUAGGUCUAGUUUUUCUGCUAGACCCAAUGCUAUUGGGUCUAUUUUUGCAGCCAGAUCCAAAACUAUUUUGGAUCUGACUUAGCAUUGUUA
rnacentral:pre_miRNA from 13 species